UCACUUAACAAAAUCACAGCACUUUUAAAAGGCUUUUUUAUCGAUUUCAAACAGAACUCAAAGGAACUUAUUAGUAACCAAAUAAAAACGCAUUGGAAACAUAAAGGAAAUAUGCAAUGCCGCUACUAAAUUUACUCCAAAGAUGUUAAAUAGCGGCAAACGAUAUACUUACCGAUACUACUGCCAUCAAUGUUCUCUAUUUGUAUUGGACUGUCUUUGUUGCUGUCGACUCCGCUGCUCGGUGUUGGAGAUGGACAACGUGGCGACGGUGGUUCGCUAUCGACUAUUACAAUGCUAUCCAAAGACUUAGCACGUCUGUUCGGUAACAUUUUUCGACCAGUUGCCGACGAUGAAGUAAUACCAUUUGACAGUAGCCGCGCCAUAUCUUGCUCUAUCGAUAGGGGGAGUACUGCGCGUGUGGAAAUUUGUUUACACUUAAUACACAAAUAAGCCACAACCACUAUGAGAAUUAUUUAAUACCAGAUAUCAAUUCCGUAUAACUCCUUAUCGUUUAAAAUUAGAAGAAAGCACGAAUGAGAAAGGAUACUGCAAAUGAGAAAUGUAACAAAGGAAUAAAAAAAAUGAUGUAUGAAGUGAGACGAGUGUCUGGCCAACGCCAAACUAGUUAUUUUUAAACCAGUGUCAGGCGACAAAGCAAAAAAACACGGUGUUAUUAUCUUGAUCAACGCUCCCUUUGCGCGGUGGUUGAACACUUCCCGUGGAAGCAGCUCGGCUUCCAACACCACGACGCUUUUUAGUUUUUUGUUCACUCAAUCUGUCCAAUGCCCAUUCUCGAAUUAGCUCUUCCCACUGUGUUAAGGAUGUCAAUACUUCUAGAAACUGAUCCCAUAAUUGCGUAGAAAUAACAACAUUUAAAUUGGCUUUAAUCCACGUAACGAUCAAAGUUUGAAAUAUGGCAGGGGC